rnacentral:rRNA from 1 species
UCGGGAAUUUUGGGCAAUGGGCGAAAGCCUGACCCAGCAACGCCGCGUGAAGGAUGAAGUAUUUCGGUAUGUAAACUUCGAAAGAAUAGGAAGAAUAAAUGACGGUACUAUUUAUAAGGUCCGGCUAACUACGUGCCAGCAGCCGCGGUAAUACGUAGGGACCAAGCGUUGUUCGGAUUUACUGGGCGUAAAGGGCGCGUAGGCGGCGCGGUAAGUCACUUGUGAAAUCUCUGAGCUUAACUCAGAACGGCCAAGUGAUACUGCAGUGCUAGAGUGCAGAAGGGGCAAUCGGAAUUCUUGGUGUAGCGGUGAAAUGCGUAGAUAUCAAGAGGAACACCUGAGGUGAAGACGGGUUGCUGGGCUGACACUGACGCUGAGGCGCGAAAGCCAGGGGAGCAAACGGGAUUAGAUACCCCCGUAGUCCCUGAGCGGGCUGGCAAGGCGCAU